rnacentral:pre_miRNA from 18 species
AGUGAGCGGUCCCUCAAACAACCGAGCUUCCCCGUCAAGCCACAGCUAUCUCUGACAUUGCUGGCAAGAUGUUGGCAGUUCAGUUGUAUGACGGAGACCA